GAUGGAGUGGACAGAGUGGAGUGAGUGAGUGGGGAUGGAGUGGACAGAGUGGAGUGAGUGACGGGGGAUGGAGUGGACAGAGUGGAGUGAGUGAGUGUGGGAUGGAGUGGAUAGAGUGGAGUGAGUGAGUGUGGGAUGGAGUGGACAGAGUGGAGUGAGUGACGGGGGAUGGAGUGGACAGAGUGGAGUGAGUGAGUGAGGGAUGGAGUGGACAGAGUGGAGUGAGUGACGGGGGAUGGAGUGGAUAGAGUGGAGUGAGUGAGUGGGGGAUGGAGUGGACAGAGUGGAGUGAGUGAGUGAGGGAUGGAGUGGACAGAGUGGAGUGAGUGAGUGUGGGAUGGAGUGGACAGAGUGGAGUGAGUGACGGGGGAUGGAGUGGACAGAGUGGAGUGAGUGAGUGAGGGAUGGAGUGGACAGAGUGGAGUGAGUGAGUGUGGGAUGGAGUGGACAGAGUGGAGUGAGUGAGUGUGGGAUGGAGUGGACAGAGUGGAGUGAGUGACGGGGGAUGGAGUGGACAGAGUGGAGUGAGUGAGUGAGGGAUGGAGUGGACAGAGUGGAGUGAGUGACGGGGGAUGGAGUGGACAGAGUGGAGUGAGUGAGUGGGAGAUGGAGUGGACAGAGUGGAGUGAGUGAGUGGGGGAUGGAGUGGACAGAGUGGAGUGAGUGAGUGUGGGAUGGAGUGGACAGAGUGGAGUGAGUGAGUGAGGGAUGGAGUGGACAGAGUGGAGUGAGUGAGUGAGGGAUGGAGUGGACAGAGUGGAGUGAGUGACGGGGGAUGGAGUGGACAGAGUGGAGUGAGUGAGUGGGGGAUGGAGUGAGCAGAGUGGAGUGAGUGAGUGGGGAUGGAGUGGACAGAGUGGAGUGAGUGAGUGAGGGAUGGAGUGGACAGAGUGGAGUGAGUGAGUGUGGGAUGGAGUGGACAGAGUGGAGUGAGUGACAGGGGAUGGAGUGGACAGAGUGGAGUGAGUGGGGGAUGGAGUGGACAGAGUUGAGUGAGUGAGGAUGGAGUGAGCAGAGUGGUGUUACUCCUGCACUCAUGUGUGCUUGUGAGACCCCAUGAGGAUCACAGCCACCUUUAAACGCAGCUCUGGCUGAUGUGCUUUUUCCCAGA
rnacentral:lncRNA from 1 species